rnacentral:rRNA from 1 species
AUAACAGUUGGAAACGACUGCUAAUACCAAAUACGCCCUUCGGGGGAAAGAUUUAUCGCUAAAGGAUCGGCCCGCGUGAGAUUAGGUAGUUGGUGGGGUAAUGGCCUACCAAGCCUACGAUCUCUAGCUGGUCUGAGAGGAUGAUCAGCCACACUGGAACUGAGACACGGUCCAGACUCCUACGGGAGGCAGCAGUGGGGAAUAUUGGACAAUGGGCGCAAGCCUGAUCCAGCCAUGCCGCGUGAACGAUGAAGGCCUUAGGGUUGUAAAGUUCUUUUGUCAGGGAAGAUAAUGACGGUACCUGAAGAAUAAGCACCGGCUAACUUCGUGCCAGCAGCCGCGGUAAUACGAAGGGUGCUAGCGUUGUUCGGAAUCACUGGGCGUAAAGCGCGCGUAGGCGGCUUAACAAGUCAGAGGUGAAAGCCUGGAGCUCAACUCCAGAACUGCCUUUGAAACUGUUAAGCUUGAGUGUCGGAGGGGAUAGCGGAAUUUCUAAUGUAGAGGUGAAAUUCGUAGAUAUUAGAAGGAACACCGGUGGCGAAGGCGGCUAUCUGGACGACAACUGACGCUGAGGCGCGAAAGCGUGGGGAUCAAACAGGAUUAGAUACCCUGGUAGUCCA